rnacentral:rRNA from 1 species
GACGAACGCUGGCGGCGUGCUUAACACAUGCAAGUCGAACGGAAAGGCCCUGCUUUCGUGGGGUGCUCGAGUGGCGAACGGGUGAGUAACAUGUGAGUAACCUGCCCUUGACUUUGGGAUAACUUCAGGAAACUGGGGCUAAUACCGGAUAGGAGCUCCUGCUGCAUGGUGGGGGUUGGAAAGUUUCGGCGGUUGGGGAUGGACUCGCGGCUUAUCAGCUUGUUGGUGGGGUAGUGGCUUACCAAGGCUUUGACGGGUAGCCGGCCUGAGAGGGUGAUCGGCCACAUUGGGACUGAGAUACGGCCCAGACUCCUACGGGAGACAGCAGUGGGGAAUAUUGCACAAUGGGCGGAAGCCUGAUGAAGCAACGCCGCGUGCGGGAUGACGGCCUUCGGGUUGUAAACCGCAUUCGCCUGUGACGAAGCGUGAGUGACGGUAAUGGGUAAAGAAGCACCGGCUAACUACGUG